rnacentral:lncRNA from 1 species
CACGAAUUUACCUCAGCUGCAGCCCCCGCCGCCCGCUGCGCCGCAACAGCCGCUGACCCGGAGGUCGCCCUUCAGCCCGCAGCUCCAGCAGUAGCACCGGGCGGCGGCCGCCGCCUGCCUGCAGCAGAGGAACUCUUACAACCACCACCAGCCUCUUCUGAAACAAUUGCCUUGGAGCAACCACCAGAGCAGUGGCUGGGACACUGGAAGCAUGUCCUGGGGAGCAGUGCUGGCAGAGAUCAUCCUAGAACUGGAAACAUGGGAAUUCCAGGAACCAUGAAUCAGAUCUCUCCAUUGAAGAAACCAUUCUCUGGUCAUGUCAUAGCACCACCGAAAUUUACUGGCUCUACUCCAUCACUGACUCCAAAAUCUUGGAUUGAAGAUAAGGUGUUCAGAACAGACAACAAUAGUAAUACACUUUUAUCCUUACAGAUGAGAUCUAGUUUGCAGUUGCCAGCUUGGGGCUCAGAUUCACUCCAAGAUAGUUGGUGCAUUGCAGCUGGAACAUCCAGAAGAGACCAGGAUCAAAGCAGAAUAUAUGAAAGUUUAAAUAUGCACUCUUUGGAAAAUUCCCUCAUUGAUAUUAUGAGAGCAGAGCAUGAUCCCCUUAAGGGUGGAUUGAGUUAUCCACAUCCAGGAACUGACAAUCUGUUGAUUUAAAUGCUGUGGAUAAAACCCUGAAUAAGAUUACUGAGAAACCAGGAUCAAAUUGUAAAGUCACUUCUUACAGGCAAGGUCUUCAAGCUAUUCUCAGAGCCUUCUUGCUAUCUUUAAAUACAUGAAGAAGUUCACCCAUCAAUAAUAUAUUUUAACAGGCAUG